CAGUCGAGCGAGCUUGCCUAGAUGAUUUCAGUGCUUGCACUAAAUGAAACUAGAUACAAGCGAGCGGCGGACGGGUGAGUAACACGUGGGUAACCUGCCCAAGAGACUGGGAUAACACCUGGAAACAGAUGCUAAUACCGGAUAACAACACUAGACGCAUGUCUAGAGUUUGAAAGAUGGUUCUGCUAUCACUCUUGGAUGGACCUGCGGUGCAUUAGCUAGUUGGUAAGGUAACGGCUUACCAAGGCAAUGAUGCAUAGCCGAGUUGAGAGACUGAUCGGCCACAUUGGGACUGAGACACGGCCCAAACUCCUACGGGAGGCAGCAGUAGGGAAUCUUCCACAAUGGACGAAAGUCUGAUGGAGCAACGCCGCGUGAGUGAAGAAGGGUUUCGGCUCGUAAAGCUCUGUUGGUAGUGAAGAAAGAUAGAGGUAGUAACUGGCCUUUAUUUGACGGUAAUUACUUAGAAAGUCACGGCUAACUACGUGCCAGCAGCCGCGGUAAUACGUAGGUGGCAAGCGUUGUCCGGAUUUAUUGGGCGUAAAGCGAGUGCAGGCGGUUCAAUAAGUCUGAUGUGAAAGCCUUCGGCUCAACCGGAGAAUUGCAUCAGAAACUGUUGAACUUGAGUGCAGAAGAGGAGAGUGGAACUCCAUGUGUAGCGGUGGAAUGCGUAGAUAUAUGGAAGAACACCAGUGGCGAAGGCGGCUCUCUGGUCUGCAACUGACGCUGAGGCUCGAAAGCAUGGGUAGCGAACAGGAUUAGAUACCCUGGUAGUCCAUGCCGUAAACGAUGAGUGCUAAGUGUUGGGAGGUUUC
rnacentral:rRNA from 1 species